AAGUCGUAACAAGGUUUCCGUAGGUGAACCUGCGGAAGGAUCAUUAAAGUGAGGGAGUCGAACGCGCAAGCGAGACGCCCGCAACACACUCACCUUGUGUUUUGUUUUGGUGGUGUUUGUGAGUGUAGACUCGCAGACAGACAGUUUAUUACUUUUAUUAUUUCUACCAACUCAACAACAAUUACAACUACAAAACUGCCAGCAAUGGAUCACUCGGUUCUC
rnacentral:misc_RNA from 1 species